rnacentral:rRNA from 1 species
GUAGUUAGCCGGGGCUUUCUUACAGGGUACCGUCACUUCUUCGUCCCCUGCGACAGAGGUUUACAAUCCGAAAACCUUCUUCCCUCACGCGGCGUUGCUGGGUCAGGCUUGCGCCCAUUGCCCAAUAUUCCCCACUGCUGCCUCCCGUAGGAGUCUGGACCGUGUCUCAGUUCCAGUGUGGCCGAUCAGCCUCUCAGCUCGGCUACCCAUCGUCGGCUUGGUGGGCUGUUAUCUCACCAACUACCUAAUGGGACGCGAACCCCUCUAAAAGCGAUAAAUCUUUGACCUCUUCCCGAUGCCGGGUUGUGGUCUUAUGCGGUAUUAGCAGUUGUUUCCACCUGUUAUUCCCCACUCUUAGGCAGGUUGUUCACGCGUUACUCACCCGUGCGCCACUAGAAUUAUCAAUUCCAUCCGAAAACUUCCUUAAUAAUCCCCGUUCGACUUGCAUGUGUUAGGCACGCCGCCAGCGUUCGUCCUGAACCAAGAUCAAAUUCUGA